rnacentral:rRNA from 1 species
CCCUUUGUGCACGGUAUAUUUGCUGACACACUCCUUGCAUUGGAAUGCAAAGUGGGUGGUAAGUUUCAUGUAAAGGUAAACAUGCAAUUGAACUGAUACACACAAUACCAUGAGGGAAAUAUGAAAAGGACUUUGAAAAAAUUAAAUGAUUUGUAUUUGCUGAACACAAAGUAAACAACUUGAUUUGCUUGGUGGGAUGUUGCACUUGCUUGACAAACUUUGGGCUGUGGGUGUAAUGAUUCUUUCUUUGCAUGCCAGUUUCUAUUUGUACAUCUGAUUACCUUUGCACAUGAAUGAUAAUCUCCUGUGGGGGGGGAUUGCAU